CUGAUAGUGGCUACAAUCUAGAAAAAUCCUCUCCCCAAGGAGUUUGCUAAGCACAGAACAAUGACAACACACUUCUGUGUUCAGAGGCCCUCUGGCUUUCUGAGCCUUGCAAUCUCUUCAGCUCAGUGGGGCAACUGACAGGGAUGGUGAGAGAGUCCACCUCCUUCAGCCUGGACCACAAAGGGUGGUCGACGUGCUCUCCUAGGAGAUGGAAGAUGCAUGCUUUAACCUCUUCAAGUGUGUCAGCUGCUGUAACUCCUAUUGUGAUUUCCUCCCCGUUCGAUACACAUGAUGUGAAAUCCACCCUGGGACAAAGAAACUUAAAGCAUAUAGAAUUGUCUGAUUGGAUAACAUUUGGCUCAGUUCUUGGCAGAACAAUA
rnacentral:lncRNA from 1 species